UCCGGCGGGGAGAUUAAAGAGCAGAAUAAACAUGUAGAGGCUUUUGAUCUGAUAUUUAGGCACGCGGGUUCGAAUCCCGCCACCUCCACCA
rnacentral:tmRNA from 1 species